AGUGAACGCUGGCGGUAGGCCUAACACAUGCAAGUCGAACGGCAGCACAGUAAGAGCUUGCUCUUACGGGUGGCGAGUGGCGGACGGGUGAGGAAUACAUCGGAAUCUACUUUUUCGUGGGGGAUAACGUAGGGAAACUUACGCUAAUACCGCAUACGACCUACGGGUGAAAGCAGCGGAUCUUCGGACCUUGCGCGAUUGAAUGAGCCGAUGUCGGAUUAGCUAGUUGGCGGGGUAAAGGCCCACCAAGGCGACGAUCCGUAGCUGGUCUGAGAGGAUGAUCAGCCACACUGGAACUGAGACACGGUCCAGACUCCUACGGGAGGCAGCAGUGGGGAAUAUUGGACAAUGGGCGCAAGCCUGAUCCAGCCAUACCGCGUGGGUGAAGAAGGCCUUCGGGUUGUAAAGCCCUUUUGUUGGGAAAGAAAAGCAGCAGGUUGAUACCCCGCUGUUCUGACGGUACCCAAAGAAUAAGCACCGGCUAACUUCGUG
rnacentral:rRNA from 1 species